AGCGAACGCUGGCGGCAGGCCUAACACAUGCAAGUCGAACGAACUCUUCGGAGUUAGUGGCGGACGGGUGAGUAACACGUGGGAACGUGCCUUUAGGUUCGGAAUAACUCAGGGAAACUUGUGCUAAUACCGAAUGUGCCCUUCGGGGGAAAGAUUUAUCGCCUUUAGAGCGGCCCGCGUCUGAUUAGCUAGUUGGUGGGGUAAAGGCUCACCAAGGCGACGAUCAGUAGCUGGUCUGAGAGGAUGAUCAGCAACAUUGGGACUGAGACACGGCCCAAACUCCUACGGGAGGCAGCAGUGGGGAAUUUUGCGCAAUGGGCGAAAGCCUGACGCAGCCAUGCCGCGUGAAUGAUGAAGGUCUUAGGAUUGUAAAAUUCUUUCACCGGGGACGAUAAUGACGGUACCCGGAGAAGAAGCCCCGGCUAACUUCGUGCCAGCAGCCGCCGUAA
rnacentral:rRNA from 1 species